UGCAUGUCUAAGUACACGCCCCCGAAAGGCGAAACCGCAAAUGGCUCAUUAAAUCAGUUAUGGUUCCUUAGAUCGUACACUUUUACUUGGAUAACUGUGGUAAUUCUAGAGCUAAUACAUGCAACUGAGCCCUCUCCUCGCGGGAGGGUGCUUUUAUUAGACCAAGACCAGACGGUUGGCUGCGGCCUUCCGAUAGUCGUGGUGACUCUGGAUAACUAUGGCAGAUCGCACGGCCUUCGCGCCGGCGACGCAUCUUUCAAGUGUCUGCCUCAUCAACUUUCGAUGGUAGGAUAUACGCCUACCAUGGUUGUUACGGGUAACGGGGAAUCAGCGUUCGAUUCCGGAGAGGGAGCCUGAGAAACGGCUACCACAUCCAAGGAAGGCAGCAGGCGCGCAAAUUACCCACUCCCGGCACGGGGAGGUAGUGACGAAAAAUAACAAUACGGGACUCUUUCGAGGCUCCGUAAUUGGAAUGAGUACACUCUAAACCUUUUAACGAGGAUCUAUUGGAGGCAAAAUCAGGUGCCAGCAUCCGCGGUAAGACCUGUUCCAAUAGCGUAUAUUAAAGUUGUUGCGGUUAAAAAGCUCGUAGUUGGAUCUCAGUCGAGCUCCCGGCGACCGCUUUCCGCGUUCAUCGCCGGGGCCGACAAAAGGUUGGUGGAUUCGGUUGGCCUUAAAAAGCUGAUCGGACUCUCCGACGAUUUUACUUUGAAAAAAUCAGAGUGCUCAGAGCAGGCGGUUGCCUGAAUGAAAGUGCAUGGAAUAAUGGAAUAGGACCUCGGUUCUAUUUUGUUGGUUUUUGGAGCCCGAGGUAAUGAUUAAGAGGGACAGACGGGGGCAUUCGUACUGCGGCGUUAGAGGUGAAAUUCUUGGAUCGCCGCAAGACGAACUACUGCGAAAGCAUUUGCCAAGAAUGUUUUCAUUAAUCAAGAACGAAAGUUAGAGGCUCGAAGACGAUCAGAUACCGUCCUAGUUCUAACCAUAAACGAUGCCAACCAGCAAUCCGCCUGAGUUCCUCAAACGACUCGGCGGGCAGCUUCCGGGAAACCAAAGUUUUUGGGUUCCGGGGGGAGUAUGGUUGCAAAGCUGAAACUUAAAGGAAUUGACGGAAGGGCACCACAAGGAGUGGAGCCUGCGGCUUAAUUUGACUCAACACGGGAAAUCUUACCCGGUCCGGACACCGGAAGGAUUGACAGAUUAAGAGCUCUUUCUUGAUUCGGUGGGUGGUGGUGCAUGGCCGUUCUUAGUUGGUGGAGCGAUUUGUCUGGUUAAUUCCGUUAACGAACGAGACUCUAGCCUACUAAAUAGGCGACAGAUCACUUUCGUCUGUCGCUCUUCUUAGAGGGACAAGCGGCGCUUAGCCGCACGAGACAGAGCAAUAACAGGUCUGUGAUGCCCUUAGAUGUCCGGGGCCGCACGCGCGCUACACUGAAGGAAUCAGCGUGUGCUUACCCCUGUCCGGCAGGAUUGGGUAACCCGUUGAACCUCCUUCGUGAUAGGGAUAGGGGCUUGUAAUUAUUCCCCUUGAACGAGGAAUUCCCAGUAAGCGCGAGUCAUAAGCUCGCGUUGAUUACGUCCCUGCCCUUUGUACACACCGCCCGUCGCUACUACCGAUUGAAUGAUUUAGUGAGGUCUUCGGACUGGUGCUCGGAGCGGCUCUCGGGUCGCGCCGGUGUACCGGAAAGAUGACCAAACUUGAUCAUUUAUAGGAAGUAAAACUCGUAACAAGGUUACC
rnacentral:rRNA from 1 species